CCUCCCCCGGCAGCCCUCGCAUCGCUCGCACCGAGCGGCGGGCCCGUCGGCCGAGCAGUAAAACCCGGCGCUGCUGAGGGGGAACCGCGCUCAGGCUGAGGCUCCACCGUUUCAUCUGUAUUUCUGGCAGGAAAAAAAGUUGACGUCUAUGAGGAGCAGCCCUCCUGUGUUGAUAUGACCAAAACCCUCUUGACAUACAGUCUUUUUUUUAGGAAAUUAACUCAAAGGCAGUUUAAAAGCUGGUUGAUUUGGUGGGUCAGUCACAUCCCUCCUGUUUGUGCAGGUACUGAAUCCUCUCAACACUACUAACCCUGAGAAGGGUAUCUAGUUGUUGUCCUACUCAGCUUCCUGACUCAGCUUUUGGCAUAACGGAGGAAGCGAGACUGUGUCAGACUUGGCUUAAAGUCAUUUAAGCUGUUGUCAAACUACUUGCAAAACUGUUAAUUUUCAGCCAGUUCCCUGGUCCAGCUCUCCUUGAGGAACCUGGAACACUAUUUAAAAACUCAUAACCGCUGUAACUGAAGUGUAACUGUAAUGGAUGUGAGCAGUUUUGCCUCUCAUCUCUCAAAAUGCCUCUUUAUAUCUCAAGGUAUGUCUCCCCUUUUUUUUUUUUUUUUUGCCUAUAGGCAAAGCAAUUUCACUUCCUUUCAAUCCUUUCUGGUGUGGCACAGUUUUAAAUCUCUUAAGAUGCUUAUGUCUUCUCCUUGUGUUGUCUCAAAAAUCAUUCACAUCUUUUUUUUGAACUGUAGCACCCAAGACUAGACUUUACUAAAAUUAAGGCCUCAACAAUGCCAGCAUCUGCUGUCCUGCCUGUCACAGACCCCAUUCCUGUUUACACAUCCAGUACAAAUGCUUUUGAGUCAGUCUGAUCUAUUCACAAUCUUGCUGACCUGUUUUACCCCCGCAUCCAUUUCUGCUGACCUCUCAAGCCAGGUAUUUCUCCCUCAAGUAGACAGUAAUGCUGCUUGAGAAAUUAUUUCCUGCAACAGCUCUUAUGCUGUGCCUUCAUUUUUAUUUUAUAAUCAAGCAGUCAAGACAUCUUUUAAAAUGAAAUUCCACGUGAUGUUAAGUCAGAGAACUGUAGAAUUUGUCAUCCUCUGUAAAUCGAUUGCACUUCUCAGAAGAAUUGUAUUUAAAAAAGCAAAACUAAGAUUGAACUGUGCCAUAGUUACAGAAGGGUUGUGUAACUCUAAAUUUAGAAGAGUGAUUUGUAUACACAUUUGGAGGUAUUUAAAACUUUAAAUUUGCUUAGACUAAACCAGCUAAAAUAAUCUAAAUGCAAACAAGGGUGGGUGACAAAGAAUGUGGUCAGAGUUAUACCAAUAUAAGAUAAAAUAUUGGUAUAUUUUAAAAACAGUGUAAUAUCCCAUUAGUGAGGGACAGAACCUGUAUUUGUAUGUUUUGCUGUUCCAUGUGCUUAAUACUGUUAGCUCAGAAUUCCUCAGUUCUGUUCACUGUCCUGUGUGCUGCCUUUGAUGUGAACAGUGCAAUGAGCAGCUCAUAAAUUUGCUGGCAGCACACUGUGCAGAAGGGAGGUUCUAGCACAGCCUGAUGGCUAUACUGGCACUUCAGGUGCAGUUCAGCAAGGCAUUUGACAUGAUUGUACUUCAGUUUUCCUAAUAUGAGAUGAAUCCAUCUUUGUAAAACACCAAAAAUCUAAAACUGAAGCCUGUGAUGUGGGUAUCUAUUAAAAUAACUGCCAUAGAAGAGAUAAAAAUCAACAGUGCUUUCCAUGUCUACUGUCCAGUGCACACAGAUGUUUUUUACUCUUCAUUGUGACUUUGUAUAAUGACUACAGAAUUAGUUUUUCAGUACAGCUGAGCAAGCUGGCAAAUAAUGCAUUCAGCUAAUUCAUUUCUUAGAUGGUCAUCAUGUGGUCUCUUUGGUCCAUUUUGGCUGUGUAAAGCAUUAUUAUGAUAUGUUUUAUAUCAGGUGAUGUUUGGACAGUAACAAUUCCAGAAAAAAUACAGGCUUUAGCAGGGAAUAAACAGAAAUCUUACCUUUUUUUUAUCAUGUGGCCAUCAGAUUUUACACAGUAGGCUUCCCAUUUAUCUCCUGGUCGCUUUCUUUUUUCUACUUUAAUCUGUGAAGUCCUCAUCUGUGAUGAGAUUUCAGAACACAACAUAAGGUAUGAAUGUAAAACUGCUGAUGUUUCAAAGGGGUACUGUUACUUGUCCUUCUAUUCUCUGUUUAGCUUGUAUUUUGUAAAAAUUGCUACUUUCAAAAUUAUUACAUGAAUCCCAAGCAGAGAUUGAAUACUGAGUACUUAGAGGUGUUUUAAACCUGUUUUACAGCAGAUGUGUAUCUGUACAUGUUUAUGUAUGUGUUUGUAUAAAUACAUGUAAUACCAGUUUGCAAGGAUAAAAGCUAAAUUUCCUCAGAUAAAAGUUCACAUGACCAACAUCUCCCAUACAAGUGUGUGGGCAUAUAUAUGAAAAUGAGUGCACAUUCAGUACAUGCAGCACUUCCUGGAGAUCUACAAGCAAUAAUAAAUCCUUUUGAUCAGUGUCUUUCCAUUGCUAUCAAAGGUGCAAGACAAACCUAUUCUUUUUAAAACUUAAACUACCUCACUCUCUUACAAAAGGGCUUUUUAAAAAUAGGUGGAAAGGAAUUUUUAGGGCCGGAUCCUCACCAGUUCAGCUCUGCUCCUUAGCACCCAGACAGUCAGAACAGCAGUCAAGAGCCCUUCAUAACAGAGAUUUUUGUACCAGUGACUCAGAUUCGUGGCACUUCACGUUUUUUUGUGUGACUGGAGUUCCACUAUAGACCAUCUGUUAUGGCCACCCAGGCAGGAAUACAGGAGCUUUCAUCCACAUUGGCAUUCUGCUCUUUGCAGAGCAGCUUAUCAAACAGGAUUGCUGCAGAGAUACCACUGUGGAAGUCCUGCUGUACUGAGUGAUAAACAUAAAUGGAUCUAGCUGGAGCUUGUUUCACCUGGCACAUGUGGCAUCUAUUUGUCUACAGGAAGGGUCACAUAAUGCUCCAUAAAUGAUCUCCUAUAUGUCAAAAGGAGCAUUACCAGUGUACCAUGGGAUUAGUCCAUAUAUUCCCUGUUCCAAUACUAGGAAGCAAGAAAAGACUUGGUCUCCCCAGAGAACUAAUUAUUCAAACCAUCAGGAAAAAGACCAGCCAGAGAAAGUGAUGGAGGAAGCAGCAGAGCUGUUUGAAGAGGCAAAUCAGCAUGUGAGCAAGGCUUUUCUGAUACAUCUUUUAACAAAAAUGAACAUUGUGGAGCCUGCAUCAAAGUAACAGUCCUGAUCCAUCACUGUGAUUGAAAGGGCACAAUCUGAGACUUUUUUUAUUUACUUUUGAAUCCAAUUCACCUGUAACAAGAAAGAAUUCUACUUAAGUCUGUUUACUCUGUAGUUGACUCCUGAUUCAUGUUUUUGGUUUUGGGGAGGAAUGGUGUGGCUUUUAGGCAGUGUUUGCAAUUGCCAUACCAAGUUUCCCUAAUAACAAGCAAGUGCUGGUUACUCCUUCCUCCUGCUCCCACUCAUAUCAGCUGUGCCAUGGCACUGUCAGGCCCUCAGGAAAUGAAUUCCUGCUGGGUGUGGGGUAAGCAUUUUAGGGUCAUAGACACAACUACCAUAAUGGGAACUAAUUCUUCCUCUCUGUUUAUAGACACUGCGUCAUUUGAAGUCUGUUUCUGUAGUCAACAUGGCAAGAUAAGCAGGAGCUUGCUGGCCUUGGCAGCUGGCUAGCUGUCUCCUCCAGCACAGCACUGCUCUCACUUAUUCCCCAAUUCCUGGGUUUGUUCCUCCUUUGUUCCCCUCCCCCAGCAUCUUAACUUGCCUCCAGGCCCCAGGCACUCCUUUAAGCCAAGUUUUCUGAAUUUUUUUUGUUCCCUUUCCUUUGCUGCCUGUUUAUCUCUUACCUUCCUGGGGCUUUGUGCUGCACUGCUGGGCCAACUCCCCUCCCCAACUGUCCCUGCCUGCCCCAACUGUCACCUACAACUGCCUCAGAAGGUUCUGGUGCUGCCCCAGGCACAGGGCAGCACCCACAGGACAGCCUCUGGCACCUGAAACUGCCUGGAAGCAGCCACCACCUGUGUGGUGUGGUCCCCUGUGCCACUGGGGGAUGUCUGAGUCUCAAGUGAAAUGAGCUUGGCUUGUGCUCUUUGCUUUGUCAUCAUGUCUCCUUCAAGUACCUGAAGGGAGCCUACAAGAAGGAUGGAAUAGGAUUUUUUUUUUGAGGAGCAUACACUGACAGGACAAGGAGGAAUGGCUUCAAACUGAAAGAGAAUAGGUUUAGAUUAUGUAUUACAAAAACGUUCUUUACUGUGAGGGUGCUGGCACAGGUUGCCAGAGCAGCUGUGGCUGCCCCAUCCCUGGGAAUGUUCAAAGCCAGGUUGGAUGGGCUUGGAGCAACCUGGUCUGGUGGGAGGUGCCCCUGCCCAUGGCAGUGGGUUGAAUGGGAUGAUCUUUCAGGUCUUUCAACCCAAACCAUUCCUUGGUUCUGUCUCCUCAGGUAUUUCUGCAUUUAAUGUGUUACAAACCAAUAUAUAAACUGCCAUAAAACCAUCCUCUUCCUGUAAGCACCUUCUACUGAGGCCCAGCUUCCUACUUACAACAUCACCCUGGGAAGAACAAAUGAGUAAAAUACCUCUGUGUAGGUGUGGUGAAGGUGCCCAGAAAGUGUGAACUGUAGCAGUUCCCAAUCUCCUCUGAGCAUCACCAGUUCCCUCCCAAGGGAUGCUUGGUGCAUCUCUCCAUUGCAGAAUUGAAAAAACUCAGAUUUUUCCACAAGUGCAGAGAGGAUGGAGUAGGCUGAGACAGAGAGAUCUCAUUCUCUUUGUUGUAAAAAAGAGAACAGGCAAGUAUUCAUGUUGUAUUUUUUUAACCUGAUUUAGUGGUACAGCUUUAACCUAUUGGAUACUCUUUAAAUUUUCAAGUCACAGCAAAUGAAAGUGUUCUAUAGUCAGUGGCUCAGCUCUUCAUUGUAAAGAAGGGGGUCUAUCAGCAUUUAAGUUUAAAAUACAAGUCUUAAUGGGUUCCAGAUUUUGCAGUAGGGAUGAAUAAUGGAUAUGUAGGUAUAUUGCCAAAAUAGGAAGGAUAGAAAAAUAAAGGUAAUAGGAGUAUUUUCUAGAGUCUUCUGAGAUCCACUGUCAGGUAAACAAAUAGGAUAAUUUUGCCACUGAGAAAAUUACAUGAAUUAGGAUGAUGCAGUUCUGUCAUGACACUGUACAGGAAUUUCAGACACCCUAUAAAGGAUCACUAAGAAAGGACUUUGUGUGAGACAGGAACAGGAGUUGAAAUCCAAAAGCUAUAAAUCCUAGAAAAAGGCAUAAAUUCAUUAGAUUGAGAUGGAAAAUAGCAAAGAAACACCUAAAUAAUCUCAUGACUAAGCAGACCACACAAAAAUAGAUAACUGGAACAAGAACAAAACUGGUGUUCUUCUGUGCAAGCACUGGAAGUUCAAAAACUUGAAGAGAUGAGGAUGUGUCACUUUAAAGGAACACUCUGAUAGGACUGAUUUUUAGGAAACAGUGAGAAGGAAUGGCAUUAAAGCCUCUCCCAUACUUGAUGGCCUAAAGAGAUGAGGAUGCCAAGGUUAGGAAAAGAAUAGCAAAUAAGCAGGAAAUGCACCACUGUACAAAUCCAUGGUGCAUCCUUCCUUAUUUCUAACUCUGUGUGUAAUUUAGAAAAAGCCAAGAAAUAAGAUGGCUUGGUACAAUUCCCUCAGAAGGAGAGGAUUCACACACUGGUAAUCUUUAUCUUAGAAUUAAAAAAGCUUCAUGCUGAAUUUGACAGAGGUUUGUCAAGAUCUUCAGUGGAAGGGAGACAGGUGAAUGAGUGAGUUAUUUAUCAAAACUGCUUUCUAUUUUUUGUUCUUAUGUUAUCUGGCAAGAUGGAAUAUUGCAAGCUUCCUCAUCCUGUUAGGGAGGCAUAAGGUUUGAACAGGUUCAAUAAAGCAAAAUUUUGAAAACCAGAUGCUCAAGGACACUGGGGAGAUUCAAUUACCCUCAUAUUUUAGUGGGCUGCUUUAGUUGCAAUGUACAUGACACAUACAACAUACUAAUAGAUGGAGAAGCCUAUCUAAAUACUCAAUAAAAAUGCACCACUAUCAGCUUUAAAAGUCUGCUCUACACAAGUCUAGACACCAGAUUUAGGUUAAGAUAACUCAGUAAAUACAGAAGAAUUGGAGCCAAUAUAAAAUCUGUGAUGUGACAAUAUUUGACAUAUUAUCAUUAUUGAGUGGCUUCUUUGACAUGCUGUGCCAUCCCCAUACUUAGGGAAUUUUCAAUGUUAUUCAGUGUCAGGUGAGACCUGGAAGAAUUUAUAGCAAGAAUCAAUAGCCAAGACUUGAGUGAGAGCUGAUCAAAAACAGAGUUGAGAUUUUCCUUUUUAAGAAGCAAGGAGAAGUUAAAACCACAGUUUGCUGGGGCACCAAGUAGCACCAGAGGACACCUCUGGAAAAUUUGUCUUAAGCUGUAUUUAGUACAUCCAAAGAAAUUGUAGCUCCCACUUGAGCCAUUUCAGCUCAAAUACAAAUAAAUAAAGAAAUAUUUUAGAGAGUUGUGUGCUUCUGAGUCAUGUUUAGUUCUAAUAUGUGCCUUUCUAGGUGACCUCCUGCCUUAGAGCAGAUUCAUUUCUAACUGCAAUUCUAUAGGUGUGCCCCUGUACUUCCUGUGUUAAAGUCCAUCAAAAGUACACCAGGCACUGAAAUUCUAAUAGUGAAAGCUUUUAGUAAAAUGGCUAAUGAGAGCCCUUCAGACAAGCACUUUCCAGCAAGUUUGUUUUAGAAUAAUUAGUUUCUUGCAAUUACUGGCUUUUAAUGAUAGGCUGUUGAGACAUUUUUUAGUUCCAUAAUCUUUGUAGAGUCUUUGUUCUUGAAAUUUUAUCACUGUCUUGAUGCAUGAGUGUGAGAUACUCCAGGGAAAUGUUGUUCAGUGCCUGCUUGAGUUCAAUUUUAAAACGUAAUUUUUUGUCUUUUCUCUGAUUUACACCUAGGUCAAAUUCAUAUUGUGUUCCUUCUUGAAAACUCACUGCAGCUUCAUUCAGAAUCUUAAAAUAUUAUGUAAGUCACAUCCUGGAAAAUGUGAAAAUAGAUUUUUUUUUCAUCUUCUACGUAAAGCAUCCUUUCUGAGUUACGAAACUUUACUCCAAAGCACACUGGUUUUGAUCCAGAAUUUCAUUCCAUCAUAUUCAAACUGUUCUGAUCACAUCAAAUGUAAUUCCACCCCCACUGAAACCCACCUCAUGCCUUCUCCCAGCAUGAUCCAGCAAUUGCUCUUUGGGAUGUUACAGAAGUUGCACACUACCAUUCUGAUACACAACACUUUGGAGACUUUUUUCAGAAUUCCUGGUAGCAUUGCAACUCAGCAAACUGGUUUGAUACAUCUGUGUAAGCAAUUUAACUUGUCCCCAGUUCCCUCAUUGCUUUGCUUUUGACAAAUUGACAGAAUUCUGACAAAUAUACUCACCAAAGCUUUCAUACAGUGCCUAUCAACCCAUUCAAAUGGUUUGUUCACAAAAAAUACCAGUAUUAGUCCUGCUGGUGAUCAUCUACAGGGAUUUCAACCUCAAUGCCACAUAUGCAGAAUUUUUUAUUUUAGUUGCAAAAAUAUUUUCCACCUGAAAUAUUCUCCACUUAUUUAAGCCAUUAUACAGAAAUAUAAGCAAGGCUGUUUGCUUUUGACAGAGAUUUGCAAAAAUCCUCAUUACCUCCUGGGGAAAAAUGGGUAAAAGACGUUUGCAGAGAAAAGUGGGGCAUCCAUUGUUGCUGCAUGUUUAAUUUUGUUUGAUUUACUAUACUUAACUUUUUCCCUUGUUGGCAAAAACAACCUUAGCUGCUGCUCAUGCUGUUUGCCAGCAUCUCCAUCUGCAUCUUUGGUUCCUGCUCGGGUUCAUUCUCCUGCUGCAUUUGCAGAAUGCUGCUCACAUCUCUGCUCCCAUGGGAAUGGUUCCCCUUUGUGGCUCACAUUCACAGCAGCAUGGACUUACCCUCCUUGUGGAUGACAUUUUCCUGCAGCUGCAGACACCUGAGCCCAGCUCCCUCUCGAGUCUCGUGGCCUGGGUGAUCACUGCCAGUGAUAAGGGAAUGCCUCUGUCUCGUCUUCGGAAGUCUUGAGAAUCCACUGUGAAUCCACACCCACGUUUCAGUUCUGUCAGUAAUCCCAAAUCCCCCGUGGGAGACUUUAUCUGAAUUAAUCUCAUCUCGUAAUUUUGCCAUGUAGGUUUAUUUUGCAACUGGACCAUUCCUUAUCUAACCUUUUGUGGAUUUUUUUUCUCUUGGGAGUAGUUUCCAUAAAACACCUCGGAAAGCAUUUAAUUCAGUCUCAAAGUUAGUGCUGCAUUUGCUUGGAAUUUCUGUCUGGCCUGUUUUCUGCUGACCUUUACUUAAAUGAUUAUGUAUAUGCAUGUGUGCAUGUGUUAUUUGUAGUGCUUUCUAUCUUGCUCAAGUUUAAUUUUACCCCAUAAGGCAAGCUUUCCUCUCGAGUGUGAUGUCCCAGUUGUUUUAUUAGGAUUGUGACAAGUCUGCUCACACAAGGCACAUCCACAGCACAUCUGAGUGAAAGCAAACAUCCUGUGUUCCUCAGCCUUUUCUAAACCCCAGCAGAUGGCUGCUGCUUCGGCAAACUGUGUGCAAUAGCAUGGAUCACAUUUCCCAUGCAGCAGACUUAUUUCUGGAAUCCAAACCCAGUAUACUUCCAGAAGGUGGGAACAUGCAUCCAGCCACAAAGCUAUUUAGCCCAAAUCAGUCCUACAUGGUGACUCUCCAUUGCUCAGCUCGUCUUGAUUUUUGGGAUGGAUGUACAGCAGGGUUGAGCCAGCCAAAGUAGCAGGUGGAUUGGUAACAGCUUCCACAUGCAAGUCUUUAAACACCAAGCUUAAAAGUUCAUUGUGUAUUUGUUAGAAUCUGUGUGUGUUUAUUUUUUCUCUCUGUGAUUAAGAACCUUGUGGAGAUAAAUGGUGUUUUUUUUGAAUGCCUGGGUUUCCUUGAUGCUCAGAGCCAGUCCCUGCUGAGAAUCCUUGUAGGAUCUGCAGGAAGUGAUGUGUAUUUUCUCUGCCUCAGGUAACACUCAGGGGACAGAGAUAAAUGUCCUUACCCUGGUUCCCUGCAGCAGCACUACCCUGACAUGUCUGUGCUUAACCCCAGGUGUGGAAUCAGGGGCACUUCAGUGUCCAGGUGAAUUAGCAGGAAUCACAGAAUUGUGGAAUGGUUUGGGCU